GACAACGUGGCCGAGUGGUUAAGGCGACAGACUUGAAAUCUGUUGGGGUUUCCCCGCGUAGGUUCGAACCCUGCCGUUGUCG